GACGAACGCUGGCGGCGUGCUUAACACAUGCCAGUCGAACGGAAAGGCCCUGCUUUUGUGGGGUGCUCGAGUGGCGAACGGGUGAGUAACACGUGAGUAACCUGCCCUUGACUUUGGGAUAACUUCAGGAAACUGGGGCUAAUACCGGAUAGGAGCUCCUGCUGCAUGGUGGGGGUUGGAAAGUUUCGGCGGUUGGGGAUGGACUCGCGGCUUAUCAGCUUGUUGGUGGGGUAGUGGCUUACCAAGGCUUUGACGGGUAGCCGGCCUGAGAGGGUGACCGGCCACAUUGGGACUGAGGUACGGCCCAGACGCCUACGGGAGGCAGCAGUGGGGAAUAUUGCACAAUGGGCGGAAGCCUGAGGCAGCAACGCCGCGUGCGGGAUGACGGCCUUCGGGUUGUAAACCGCUUUCGCCUUUGACGAAGCGUGAGUGACGGUAAUGGGUAAAGAAGCACCGGCUAACUACGUG
rnacentral:rRNA from 1 species